UCUUGUUGUGUGUGUGUGUGUGUGAAUCGCCUCCUCACGUAAUUGCAUUACCAAGAUGUAAACAAGUAACCAAGAUGUACACUUCAACGGCGUCCUAUAAAGGACCCAGGUGGGGUUUGCCCGGGGGUUGACCAGGGGGAUAAAACGGGGGUUUGUCAGAGACACAAGGUAACCAAACUUGCGUUCUUGGAUGGGUUUGUGAAGCAUCUUUCGAACACAGAUUUCUUUAUUGUUGCUGUGGCACCCAAUCCUGGGACCCAUAACACGUGCAUGAAUGCGCAAGACUUGAGAACAUACGCCGGAACUGGUCGGAAAAACGUCAAAUUCCCACCACGUCAAGUCGGACACAGGUGCACGUUACACCUCUUAGAAAGGAGUAACGUCAUUUUCUCACAUGGGAAAUUCCACAUGGCAAUUCCAACCAACCAUUUAUUUGACAGAAAUGCAGACGGAGGGAGCUCUCGGGAAUUUUAAAGACGUGUGACAUGUCGCACAGGGAAGUUAACGCCAGCAUUUCUGACGUUUGGAUCCCAGAAUGCAUUAUGUUAUGCAACAUCGCAUGCUUGAUCUGAAACUCGCCUAAUAUAAGCCUACUGCCAUUAAUUAGUGGUAAUUGCAUCGCAGAGAUGACUGCUUGCAUUCCGGAUCCCAGGGUCGCAUGUUGCCAUGUUACCGCUAAACCCCCCCUGACAGCCUUUAGCCCAAUUAGCCCAUACAAAAGGGAACCAUUGGGGCUCAGGAGCAAGCGGCGCAGAGCCAUUAGUGUGGCGGGGCUGGCGUUGGGUCUCCCGGCUUGUCGUACUCUAUGGCAACGGCGUGGCCGACGUAAACAAACAGGUGGAUGGCAAAUCCGCCACUAGCUGUGUCCGAAAUUGUUCCCUAUUCACUUACUCACUAUUCCCUAUAUAGUGUUUAUGAUAUAGGGAACUAUAUAGGGAACGAAAAAACAAGAAUUCUAC
ensembl:lncRNA